AUUGAACGCUGGCGGCAUGCUUUACACAUGCAAGUCGAACGGUAACAGGCCUUCGGGUGCUGACGAGUGGCGAACCGGUGAGUAAUGCAUCGGAACGUGCCCAGAGGUGGGGGAUAACGCAGCGAAAGCUGUGCUAAUACCGCAUGUGAUCUGAGGAUGAAAGCGGGGGACCAGGCAGCAAUGUUUGGCCUCGCGCCUUUGGAGCGGCCGAUGUCAGAUUAGGUAGUUGGUGGGGUAAAGGCCUACCAAGCCGACGAUCUGUAGCUGGUCUGAGAGGACGACCAGCCACACUGGGACUGAGACACGGCCCAGACUCCUACGGGAGGCAGCAGUGGGGAAUUUUGGACAAUGGGCGCAAGCCUGAUCCAGCAAUGCCGCGUGCGGUAAGAAGGCCUUCGGGUUGUAAACCGCUUUUGUACGGAACGAAAAGGCUCUGGCUAAUACCUGGGGCUGAUGACGGUACCGUAAGAAUAAGCACCGGCUAACUACGUG
rnacentral:rRNA from 1 species